rnacentral:rRNA from 1 species
CAAAAUCACCUAUUGCAAAGUGAAAAUGUUUUUAUUGGGACUUUUGGGUCGGGUUUAGUCUGGCGAGGCGGAGGGCGACGAGGUAGGACGGGCUCGAGGGGAGCGGGGGCGUUCGGCGGAGCGGCCGCUGGGGUGUGGAGGCGGCGCGGGGCGGCGGAGCGGGGAAGGGAGGAAGGAGAGCUAGAGGAGAGUGGAGACAGAGAGAAAGAACGACUUGUCCCUGGAGGUCCUCCCGGUACCGCGGUGAUCGGGAGCUAGAGCGGUCUAGGCCGGCGGAGGUGCGGUUUAGGCGGCCUUUACCUAGGUAGGGCAGGUCUAGGUGGGCCUAGGCUGGCCCGGGGGGUAGGAGCGGUGACCUCGUGCUGCCAGCCGCCCUCGCCGUACUGCAGCCCAUACAUACUCUCUUCUCUCUCUACUCGUCCUCUCUUUUUCCCUCCUGUUCUCCUCCGGUCUCCUUCUCUCUACCCUCGCCACUGGCGCAUGCUGGCGGGGCUGGUGUGCCAGCGCCGAACCGGUGGCGCCGGAGGCGCGCCUCGAAGCGCUGAUGCUGGUCGGCCUCCACCUCCGGUAGUACACCACCCGGCAGUCCAGCCCGAAGUCCCUGUUGCAGCAGGACGAGGCGUUCCAGUAGCCGGGGAUGGAGUCGCGAUUGCCGUCCACGCAGUUGCAGCUGGUGUCUCGGUCGAAGGGGAGGUCAUAACCUAGCAGCUCGCGAAGGGACGGUCCCUUCUACCGUAUGGACGGAAAGGACGGGACGUAGACACUUCAUCGAUGACUCGUCACUCCGGUAGCUCGCUGUGGUCUGGCGCCCUGUCGCACUCUUCUCCGUCCCCCACAGACCGCCCUACCCCUUCUGGUGCUCCUUCACACCGCUACCUCACGUUAGGGCUUCUUCUUCUUGUAACGUUUCUUUCUGGGAUCGGUUCGCGGUGGGUUAAGAGAAAGUAACUGGAUAGAUUACCGGUAGUUAAGUUAACCAGGUUCGACGACGCAAACUGGAAGGGUGACUGGGUGAUGUAGGAGCGAGUCGACGAAGACGAUACAAAGAAGAGGUACCGUAACAGCCGACGGUCACACGGACUGUAGUACGGAUACACUGGAGUAUAGUACGAGGAGAUGCACAAGAAGAGUGGGACCAAGGUACUCCUCUCUACAACAAGACACCAAGACAUCGAGAUGAGGUAUCGUUACUACCUCAGCGGAGGUCUACCCUAUCGUUAAUAGAGCCCUAGUACCACUCCAAUGACUCAGCUGGUAAGUAAACCGAGAUAAGCACACCUAGAUAAGUACACGUAGGCAUUUGACAUAAAUCCAUGUUGAUAACAAGAUCGUGAACACAAAUAAUAAAAACAUUUUUUUUCUAUAGAACUAGAGUAAUUUAACCCCAAAAUACAACUGUACUUUAAGAUUGACUUAAACGAUAAAUCGACUGUUAAGGUUGUUAAAGAACAUAACAUAAACGUACAUGCCUCGACGGAUUCGUUGCCGGUCCCCCGUAUACGAAGAGGAUGGUGAUUGUAGAAGUAGGAUAAACUCGGUCUUAUCGAAACCACGGGAGAGAGCGAGUACCACUCCGGCACGUGCGAACGGUACCAACACCGAUGCUUUAGAGUCUGACUCAGCGAAGCCAGCCCGUGAUAAGUCUAAUUACACCCUUAAAGAUCGUGUAAGGAGAAAAUGCCACUGCGAUCUAAGCUUAAACUUCCGCAUGAACGGGGACUCGACCGCCACGUACUCCUGUUGCUGCUGUUUUAAGACCGUAGCAGAGGUUCGAGGCAGCGUUCGUUGCGUCCUUGCGGAGUCCGAGUUUCAGCCCAACGACACGUCCGCUCGCCGUCGUCGGUGAAUGCAGAGAAGGUUCUUCCCGCGGUGGAACCUCCUCGUAUUGCUGUGGUCGACGUCGCCGCGUGCUCGGUUGUUUCCCCGUCCUGGUAACCUCUGCUGCCUGUGUCUCCACGUACGAUCCGUACGGCUAGUAGUCUGUGAUCCCUCGCUAGGGUGGGCACUACGGCGUCAUGUGCGUCGGUAGCGGCGGUGGCGGUGUACGGUACUAGAUGCCCGUUCACGGACGAGUCGUCGCAUGUUCUCUCUAGUGGCGCCCCGGGAUGAGCGGUUCUGCUACGAAGAGAAUAGCACGAAUAAAUGAACGGAAGAUACACACUGCUCUUCCUCGCCCUCUAAGUCUCCGAGUCCAACCGUAGUGAUCCACUCUAGGGACGACUAAACAGCUCGUGCCCUAUAUCUGAUAUCAGCCCAAGGAAGGAUUGAGACGACCCGGAUUACUUCUCUUUCUUAGUUGAAAACUCUAAUUAACCGAUCUAGGUUCGUCCGUCGACGUGUUGUAGCAGUUCCUCUUCUACUCUUGUUACACUACAAGUUUCUUCGUCCGAGGUCAAAACCAUUUACUCAUCACUACAACGUUGGUGGUUUUGUUUAGACUUUUUAUUCUGUUUCUGUUUGUCCAACUCUCCAACCAAUUACUAUACCUUCUAGUUCAUUUUUUUGCUUAAUAACCUUCGGGGCCGUUCGUUUCAUUUCUUUUGGGAUGAAUUGAACUAGUGUUUCCAACCUAGCACGUUCAUGUACAACAUAUUCAAAUGAUCCAACCCUGUCCAGCAUGACCACCAACGACCGUCUUAAGACUACACUAAGUGUACAAGAAGUCAAGUCUUCUACUUUGUUUUUGAGAGGUUUCUCCCCUUUGUUCGUGUCUAUUUCGGACUUCUCUAUACGUUAAACCUGAAUAUCCUUGACAGUGAAGUAAUAAUAUCACCUCAAUUUCCUUUAUCCUCCGUACUUUUGUACUGCUCGCUCCUUUCUAGUGACGAUGCGUUCUUUUUUACGUUCAGGUACACUAAAACGUUAUCCUCUCCGAAUCUGAAAGUCCCAAAAAUGAACUUUUUAGCG